rfam:Acidobacterium capsulatum ATCC 51196, complete genome.
GGGCGGUUAGCUCAGUUGGUUAGAGCGCCUGCCUUACAAGCAGGAUGUCGGGGGUUCGAGUCCCUCACUGCCCA